CUAUGAUUCUCUGGAGAGUCCCUCAUAAAGGGCGCCGAAGGUGUACGCAUACGGAUUCAGAACGCACUGACCGAAAAUCUCGUAUGUAAUCUCUCAGGCAAAAGGACAGAGCAGAUAGU
rnacentral:ncRNA from 2 species